rnacentral:rRNA from 1 species
AGUGAACGCUGGCGGUAGGCCUAACACAUGCAAGUCGAACGGCAGCACAGUAAGAGCUUGCUCUUACGGGUGGCGAGUGGUGGACGGGUGAGGAAUACAUCGGAAUCUACUUUUUCGUGGGGGAUAACGUAGGGAAACUUACGCUAAUACCGCAUACGACCUACGGGUGAAAGCAGGGGAUCUUCGGACCUUGCGCGAUUGAAUGAGCCGAUGUCGGAUUAGCUAGUUGGCGGGGUAAAGGCCCACCAAGGCGACGAUCCGUAGCUGGUCUGAGAGGAUGAUCAGCCACACUGGAACUGAGACACGGUCCAGACUCCUACGGGAGGCAGCAGUGGGGAAUAUUGGACAAUGGGCGCAAGCCUGAUCCAGCCAUACCGCGUGGGUGAAGAAGGCCUUCGGGUUGUAAAGCCCUUUUGUUGGGAAAGAAAAGCAGCAGGUUAAUACCCCGCUGUUCUGACGGUACCCAAAGAAUAAGCACCGGCUAACUUCG